rnacentral:rRNA from 1 species
UUAUGAAUAAGGAUCGGCUAACUCCGUGCCAGCAGCCGCGGUAAUACGGAGGAUCCGAGCGUUAUCCGGAUUUAUUGGGUUUAAAGGGAGCGUAGGUGGACUGGUAAGUCAGUUGUGAAAGUUUGCGGCUCAACCGUAAAAUUGCAGUUGAUACUGUCAGUCUUGAGUACAGUAGAGGUGGGCGGGAUUCGUGGGGUAGCGGUGAAAUGCUUAGAUAUCACGAAGAACUCCGAUUGCGAAGGCAGCUCACUGGACUGCAACUGACACUGAUGCUCGAAAGUGUGGGUAUCAAACAGGAUUAGAUACCCUGGUAGUCCACACAGUAAACGAUGAAUACUCGCUGUUUGCGAUAUACAGUAAGCGGCCAAGCGAAAGCAUUAAGUAUUCCACCUGGGGAGUACGCCGGCAACGGUGAAACUCAAAGGAAUUGACGGGGGCCCGCACAAGCGGAGGAACAUGUGGUUUAAUUCGAUGAUACGCGAGGAACCUUACCCGGGCUUAAAUUGCAGUGGAAUGAUGUGGAAACAUGUCAGUGAGCAAUCACCGCUGUGAAGGUGCUGCAUGGUUGUCGUCAGCUCGUGCCGUGAGGUGUCGGCUUAAGUGCCAUAACGAGCGCAACCCUUGUUGUCAGUUACUAACAGGUGAUGCUGAGGACUCUGACAAGACUGCCAUCGUAAGAUGUGAGGAAGGUGGGGAUGACGUCAAAUCAGCACGGCCCUUACGUCCGGGGCUACACACGUGUUACAAUGGGGGGUACAGAAGGCAGCUAGCGGGUGACCGUAUGCUAAUCCCAAAAGCCUCUCUCAGUUCGGAUCGAAGUCUGCAACCCGACUUCGUGAAGCUGGAUUCGCUAGUAAUCGCGCAUCAGCCAUGGCGCGGUGAAUACGUUCCCGGGCCUUGUACACACCGCCCGUCAAGCCAUGGGAGCCGGGGGUACCUGAAGUACGUAACCGCAAGGAUCGUCCUAGGGUAAAACUGGUGACUGGGGCUAAGUCGUAACAAGGUAGCCGUACCGGAAGGUGCGGCUG